UGUCCGUUGACUGUACAGGUGGCGGAGGGCGCUCGCAGAUGAGACGAUGGAAGCGACAGGAGGCGGAGAACCUUAUUCAGGCGACCCGUCUCUGAUGUACUAAUUGAGCCAGUGAGCCAGAGGGGUCCCCCGGGUUCGCGUCCCGGCCCGCAGCACUUCCUGUGGUUGCGUUGUCCCUCCGAAUUCGCGACAAUAGUUUAAAUAAAUGGGGGUGAGAUACAAUUUUACAAAUAUAACUUACAACAUGUCAAUAAAUUAGUGGCAAGUGUGGGAGGCGGGGGCGAUGAAAUCCAAGACCGUGAAGAUAACAGAAAUGGGGGAAACAUUUUUAUACCGCGUCUUCACCCCUUUUUUGUUCGCUGCCGGGACCCUUAGCCGGAAGACUGCACGAUCACUUCCGGGGGAAGUGAAACGCGGGGCUCGUCACCGCGUGUGGCGCGUCUUGAGUCGAACCGCCGAGACGCCGUGGGUUAUUUAGGCGACGGGCCGUUAGAGAGGCUGAUGUCUUGCUGAAGGGCAGCGGCUUGGAUGGGUCUCCACUUUUGAAACCGCGCCGUUUGGGACAGGCGGAGACGAGGGAGGGUGGCGGCCAGCAGGCUCUUCCUCCACCCCGAAGUGGCGCCCGCCUGCCGUCGCACACGUGCUCUGCUAUACGGUGUGUACGCGUGCGUGCGUGCGCACGAACCACGUUUCCUUAAAUUGAAAUAAACUUUGAAUUAAACUCG